UACAGAGGGGGCAAGCGUUGUUCGGAAUUACUGGGCGUAAAGGGCGCGUAGGCGGCCUGCUAAGUCGAACGUGAAAUCCCUGGGCUCAACCCAGGAACUGCGUCCGAUACUGGAUGGCUUGAAUUCGGGAGAGGGAUGCAGAAUUCCAGGUGUAGCGGUGAAAUGCGUAGAUAUCUGGAGGAAUACCGGUGGCGAAGGCGGCAUCCUGGACCGACAUUGACGCUGAACGGCGAAAGCUAGGGGAGCAAACGGG
rnacentral:rRNA from 1 species